rnacentral:rRNA from 1 species
AUUGAACGCUGGCGGCAGGCCUAACACAUGCAAGUCGAGCGGAGCGGCGGACGGGUGAGUAAUGCCUAGGAAUCUGCCUGGUAGUGGGGGAUAACGUCCGGAAACGGGCGCUAAUACCGCAUACUAUCAGAUGAGCCUAGGUCGGAUUAGCUAGUUGGUGGGGUAAAGGCCUACCAAGGCGACGAUCCGUAACUGGUUUGCGAGGAAGACCAGCCACACUGGGACUGGGACACGGCCCAGACUCCUACGGGAGGCAGCAGUGGGGAAUUUUGGACAAGGGGGGAAACCCGGAUCCAGCCAUCCCGCGUGGGGGAUGAAGGCCUUCGGGUUGUAAAGCACUUUUGGCAGGAAAGCGGUACCUGAAGAAUAAGCACCGGCUAACUACGUGCCAGCAGCCGCGGUAAUAC